UACAGAGGGUGCAAGCGUUGUUCGGAAUUAUUGGGCGUAAAGAGCUCGUAGGCGGUUCGUCGCGUCGGCUGUGAAAAUCCCCGAGGCUCAACCUCGGGUCUGCAGUCGAUACGGGGCGGACUGGAGUUCGGCAGGGGAGACUGGAAUUCCUGGUGUAGCGGUGAAAUGCGUAGAUAUCGGAAGGAACAUCAGUGGCGAAAGCGACUUCCUGGACCAGUACCGACGUUCAGGCACGAAAGCGUGGGGAGCAAACAGG
rnacentral:rRNA from 1 species